UUUAACUGAGCGUUCAGUUACUUGACGUAGACCCGAAACCGGGCGACCUACCCAUGAGCAGGAUGAAGCGAAAGUAAAAUUUCGUGGAGGUCCGAACCCACGAGCGUUGAAAAGCUCGGGGAUGACUUGUGGGUAGCGGUGAAAUUCCAAUCGAGCCCGGAGAUAGCUGGUUCUCCCCGAAAUAGCUUUAGGGCUAGCCUCAAGGUGAGAGAUACGGAGGUAGAGCACUGAAUGUCCUAGGGGGUAUUGCACCUACCGAAGACUAUCAAACUCCGAAUGCCGUCAUCUUAUACUUGGGAGUCAGACUGUGGGUGAUAAGAUUCAUAGUCGAAAGGGCAACAGCCCAGAUCGUCAGCUAAGGUCCCUAAAUGUAAGUUAAGUGGUAAAGGAUGUGGGAUUGCACAGACAACCAGGAUGUUGGCUUAGAAGCAGCCACUCAUUCAAAGAGUGCGUAAUAGCUCACUGGUCGAGUGAUCCUGCGCCGAAGAUUUCCGGGGCUAAAACUUACUACCGAAGCUACGGCAUCAGUAAUGAUGGGUAGGGGAGCUU
rnacentral:rRNA from 1 species